rnacentral:rRNA from 1 species
CCUCAUGGCCCUUAUGGGUAGGGCUUCACACGUCAUACAAUGGUCGGUACAGAGGGUUGCCAAGCCGCGAGGUGGAGCCAAUCCCAGAAAGCCGAUCGUAGUCCGGAUUGGAGUCUGCAACUCGACUGCGUGAAGUCGGAAUCGCUAGUAAUCGCGGAUCAGCAUGUCGCGGUGAAUACGUUCCCGGGUCUU